GAUAAUACUUCAUUCCUGUAGGUAAUUAACAGAGGAUAAUACUAUCAUUCCUGUAGGUAGUUAACAGAGGCACAAAGCACUCAUCUACAGGGAUCAGAGGAAGAAAUAACUUCAUGAUAUGAGAACGGUGCCUGAUGAAAUCAGUCUGGAAGGGAGGGAGGCAACCUCCAGCCAAACCCAACAGAUCAGGUGAUGAUUUAUUUCUAGGUAUCUACUCAAAACCCCUGUCCCUGUGGGCACAAGGGGGACUCUAGAUUCAAGGCACUUACAAUCCAGAUGCAAGGAUGCCCCUAACCGCUAUUUCAUGUUUCCGUUCGAAUGUCGCUGUCUCAACAAGACCUUCCCUAACUACCAGCGGUAAGCUGAAGCCAGCUACCGCCAGCUCGCGAGAGUAGACGGUGAAAUUUUCAGGAAAUCUGCAAGCCAGUUAGUAUAUACAAUCAUUAAUUCCCUCCAAGGAGACAAUAGGCAGUGGCUGGAGACACUUUUGGUUAUCACAGCUGAGAGACUGGUACUGCUGGCAUCUUGUGAGCAGAGGCCUGGGAUACUGCUAACCUCUUACAACGUACGUGGCGGCCCCCGUACAAAAGAAUUAUGUGGCUGAAAGGUCAAGGGUACUGAGUCAACUGUGAGGAAGACAGAGGAGACUGCGGACUUGCUUCAGGAUUCCCUGCGCUGAGGAACACAGACACUUCAACUGACCUUUACAGCCCAGUGUGGUAAAUGUUAGCAUUGGGGAAAUAUGAAAGAGGUUAUUAAACCCAGGCUUGGAACAUCAGGGAGGACUUCCUGGAGAAAGUAGCUUUGGUGUUAAGACUUCAGGCAGAGGAAGACUGAAUCGGAGAAGGGUGUAUGGGGGAUAGCUUUUAUUAUGGAGCACUUUCUGUGUUUGGAUCACUAUGCUGAGUAUUUUACUAUCUCAUUUAAUCCCUGAAAUGCUUUCCGAGGUUUAUACUAU